AAAACAGCCCCAGGCCAACAACCCGGCCAGCCAGGAGAGGUUCUCCCAGACAGCUUCCUCCUUUCAAAAUGGACGCUGAAUUUGUUUUUUUCCUAGUAGAUGCAAGAAAUUCUAGCACCGAAGCCAGAUAAACAUUCAAGUCAUCAGACGCUACGACUAAAUUCAGGGAAAAGCCCCGCCAGCUCCUUCAGUUGGCUACGCCUGCUUCCGGGAAGCGGACCGGAAGCCGCUCCUCUAUUCUGCGUCAAACCCGACUUCAGGGGCCGUCGUAAAAGUGUCGCUCCUCGUCACUCCGACCGGCCACAGGUUUCCGCUCGCCUCUGGCCGGGGGUCGAGAACUGCGGGCGUUAGUUUCCCUUAAGAUGGCGGAUGAAGAGGCCGAGGGUGCGGAGAGGAUGGAAGUGAGCACCGAGUUGCCCCAGACCCCUCAGCGACUGGCAUCUGUAAGUCCUUGUGGGCAAGUUCCUUUUGUCCUCCCCCCUGUGCCUCCCUACCACAUUCAGGAGGAUGCGGGGCUUCACCCCCUAUGGCGGCUCUGGGGAGGGGGAAGUCAUAUGGAUUGAUCUGGA
rnacentral:lncRNA from 1 species